CCCUUAGACGUUCUGGGCCGCACGCGCGCUACACUGAACAGUUCAACAAGUCUUAACCUUGGCCGAUAGGUCUGGGUAAUCUUUGAACGCUGUUCGUGACUGGGAUAGACCUUUGCAAUUAUGGGUCUUCAACGAGGAAUUCCUAGUAAACGCAAGUCAUCAGCUUGCAUUGAUUACGUCCCUGCCCUUUGUACACACCGCCCGUCGCACCUACCGAUUGAAUGGUCCGGUGAAAUCUCGGGACGGCGGCUUGGUCGCUUGCGUCCGACUGCUGAAACUUGAUUAAACCAUAUCAUUUAGAGGAAGGUGAAGUCGUAACA
rnacentral:rRNA from 1 species